rnacentral:rRNA from 1 species
GACGAACGCUGGCGGCGUGCUUAACACAUGCAAGUCGAACGGAAAGGCCCUGCUUUUGUGGGGUGCUCGAGUGGCGAACGGGUGAGUAACACGUGAGUAACCUGCCCUUGACUUUGGGAUAACUUCAGGAAACUGGGGCUAAUACCGGAUAGGAGCUCCCGCUGCAUGGUGGGGGUUGGAAAGUUUCGGCGGUUGGGGAUGGACUCGCGGCUUAUCAGCUUGUUGGUGGGGUAGUGGCUUACCAAGGCUUUGACGGGUAGCCGGCCUGGGAGGGUGACCGGGCACAAUGGGACUGAGAUACGGCCCAGACUCCUACGGGAGGCAGCAGUGGGGAAUAUUACACAAUGGGCGGGAGCCUGAUGCAGCAACGCCGCGUGCGGGAUGACUGCCUUCGGGUUGUGAACCGCUUUCGCCUGUGACGAAGCGUGAGUGACGGUAAUGGGUAAAGAAGCACCGGCUAACUACGUG